rnacentral:rRNA from 1 species
AAAUGAAUUGACGGGGGCCCGCACAAGCGGUGGAGCAUGUGGGUCAAUUGGAUGCUACGCCAACAACCUUACCAGGGUUUGACAUGUUGGGGCCCGCGUGAGAGAUCACGUUUUCUCCGCAAGGAGACCCCAUCACAGGUGGUGCAUGGCUGUCGUCAGCUCGUGUCGUGAGAUGUUGGGUUAAGUCCCGCAACGAGCGCAACCCUCACCGAAUGUUGCCAUCGGUUCGGCCGGGCACUCUUUCGGAACUGCCUGAGUAAUCAGGAGGAAGGCGAGGAUGACGUCAAGUCCGCAUGCCCCUUAUAUCCUGGGCUGCACACGUGCUACAAUGGCCGGUACAAAGGGUAGCCAAACCGCGAGGUGGAGCUAAUCCCCUAAAACCGGUCCCAGUUCGGAUUGGAUGUCUGCAACUCGACUCCAUGAAGCUGGAAUCGCUAGUAAUCGUGGAUCAGCAAUGCCACGGUGAAUACGUUCUCGGGCCUUGCACACACCGCCCGU